UACGGAGGGGGCUAGCGUUUGUUCGGAAUUACUGGGCGUAAAGCGCGUGUAGGCGGGUCUUUUAAGUCAGGGGUGAAAUGCCAGGGCUCAACCUUGGAACUGCCUUUGAGACUGAAGAGCUUGAGUACGGGAGAGGUGAGUGGAAUUCCCAGUGUAGAGGUGAAAUUCGUAGAUAUUCGGAAGAACACCAGUGGCGAAGGCGACUUACUGGACACAUAUUGACGCUGAGGUGCGAAAGCGUGGGGAGCAAACAGG
rnacentral:rRNA from 1 species